rnacentral:tRNA from 21 species
GGGUAGGUGGCCGAGUGGUUAAAGGCAACAGACUGUAAAUCUGUCAUCUUCGGAUUACGAUGGUUCGAAUCCAUCCCUGCCCACCA